rnacentral:snRNA from 1 species
GAUUCAUUGUGAGCUUUACGGG